rnacentral:rRNA from 1 species
GUGGGGAAUAUUGCACAAUGGGCGAAAGCCUGAUGCAGCAACGCCGCGUGAGUGAUGAAGGUCUUCGGAUUGUAAAGCUCUGUCUUUUGGGACGAUAAUGACGGUACCAAAGGAGGAAGCCACGGCUAACUACGUGCCAGCAGCCGCGGUAAUACGUAGGUGGCGAGCGUUGUCCGGAUUUACUGGGCGUAAAGGGUGCGUAGGCGGAUGUUUAAGUGAGAUGUGAAAUACCCGGGCUUAACUUGGGUGCUGCAUUUCAAACUGGAUAUCUAGAGUGCAGGAGAGGAGAAUGGAAUUCCUAGUGUAGCGGUGAAAUGCGUAGAGAUUAGGAAGAACACCAGUGGCGAAGGCGAUUCUCUGGACUGUAACUGACGCUGAGGCACGAAAGGCGUGGGUAGCAAACAGGAUUAGAUACCCUGG